CAGGUAUACGAAACCCAACAAUGAUCAAAGAGAAUUACCCAUGUUCAGUCUGGCUGUAAGCAUCCCAAAGAGCGGGGACUCUUAUGAUGUCGCAGCAGGCCCUGACGAUGGUGUGGCAGUGAAGAAUAGAAUUAGAUUGAGGUAUGCUCCUGAAAUCAGUCUAGCCUACAGGCCACUUAUCUUGUCAGCUUUUGUUGCUUCAUUUAAAUCCUCGCCUGCGUCUAUGAGACUGUUUUCAGAUAAUAUUCACAAAAAAAUAUAAAUUAAUAGCAUGAAUUGGUUGGGAACAACUUUGUCAAUAGUCCUCUAAUGUGUGAUUAAAUAUAAAUACAUUGAAUAGUUUGUUUUAAAUAAAAUAAAGAGGUUUGAUGUGAAUUAUACAAUAAAUAUCAUACACUGUCCUUCUGUAAAGAAAAGUCUCUGUUCUUUCUAAAUUAAAGCUUGGCUCAGCAUCCAC